rnacentral:lncRNA from 1 species
AAUUACCAUUAGCAGUUGAAGUGGUAGGAAAUUUUUACAUAGGAGAGUAUGGUGAUCAUAUUUGCAUUUUAGAAAAUAAUGGAUAGCAGUUUGUUAGGGGAACAAAGGACAGAGACAGGGAGACUAUUUAAAACAUUAAUAAAAAAUACCAGUGACAGAUGAUGAGGCACCUACCUGAUGGGAAUGGAGAAGAGGAGAUGGAUUCAGAAACUACUUAGGAGGUACAGUCAUCAAGAUCUAGAUGACUAAUUGCAUGUAGGGGGUAAAAAAGUAGGAAGAAGAGAGGAUGAUGACUCCUGCAUUUCUGGCUUGGGAAAGUGGUUAGAUUGUGGGCUGGAUGUGUGCAUGAUUAUGUGUGUGUAGCUGAAAAGGCAAUUUAGCUUUGCAACUGUUGAAGUGAAUAUGGACCAUAGACAUAGAUAUCCCUAGGUAGCUGAAUAUGUAGCCUGCAAAUCAGGAGAAAAUUCUAGGUGAAGAUGGUAAUUGCGAAUCAUCAGAGUCUAUAUGAGUCUCGCUCAGUUUCCAGGCUGGAGUGUAAUGGCGUGAUCUUGGCUCACUGCAACCUCUGCCUCCCAGCUUCAAGUGAUUCCCCUGCUUUAGCCUCCCAAGCAGCUGGGACUACAGGCAUGCACCAGCAUGGCCGGCUAAUUUUUUUUUGUAUUUUAGUACAGAUGGGGUUUAACCAUGUUGGCCAGGAUGAUCUUGAUCUCCUGACCUCGUGAUCUGCCCACCUCGGCCUCCCAAAGUGCUAGGAUUACAGGCGUGAGCCACCUUGCCCGGCCUUCUAUUCCUUUUUCUAAUGCAUUUGCCCCAGCUAUCUGUAUAGCCUGCAAUCUGGUAGAUGGACCACAGGGAAACCACUGCAGCAAACUAAAAGUGUCUAUCUCAGAUCCUUCCACCACCAUCAUUUCCAAAAUCACCGUCACUAUCUCCACCACCAUCACCUUUACCACCAUCACCACUAUCAUCCUCAUCCUUCCCAUCACCAUCUCCACUGCUAUCUCUCAACACCAUCAUCAUCACCACCACCACCAUCAUCACCAUGAGCACCACCUCUGUCGUCAUCAAAAAAGCACACAGUUCAGGCUGGCCUGUUGGAGGAUAACAGAUCAUGUGGAGCAGAGACGAGCUGGCCCACCUCAGGCCCUACCAGAGCAAUCAGCUUGCCAAACACGACAUACAUCAGCGAGGCCAUCCUAGACCAUCCAGCCCUAGCUGAGCCAGCCCAGACCAGAGACUCAUGAGAAACAGUAAAAUGUUCAUCAUUUUAAGCCACUAGAUUUUGUGGUGGUUUGUUAUACACCAAAAGCUAACUGAUACAGGGACCA